AGUGAACGCUGGCGGUAGGCCUAACACAUGCAAGUCGAACGGCAGCACAGGAGAGCUUGCUCUCUGGGUGGCGAGUGGCGGACGGGUGAGGAAUACAUCGGAAUCUACUCUUUCGUGGGGGAUAACGUAGGGAAACUUACGCUAAUACCGCAUACGACCUUCGGGUGAAAGCAGGCGACCUUCGGGCCUUGCGCGAUUGAAUGAGCCGAUGUCGGAUUAGCUAGUUGGCGGGGUAAAGGCCCACCAAGGCGACGAUCCGUAGCUGGUCUGAGAGGAUGAUCAGCCACACUGGAACUGAGACACGGUCCAGACUCCUACGGGAGGCAGCAGUGGGGAAUAUUGGACAAUGGGCGCAAGCCUGAUCCAGCCAUACCGCGUGGGUGAAGAAGGCCUUCGGGUUGUAAAGCCCUUUUGUUGGGAAAGAAAAGCACUUGGUUAAUACCCUUGUGUUCUGACGGUACCCAAAGAAUAAGCACCGGCUAACUUCGUGCCAGCAGCCGCCGUAA
rnacentral:rRNA from 1 species